GCCCUCGUUGUCUAAUGGUUAUGACGUCAGACUUCUAACAUAGUGACAUCUGGAGGUUGUGGGUUCGAGUCCCACCGGGGGCU
rnacentral:tRNA from 1 species